rnacentral:SRP_RNA from 1 species
CUGGCAGGUAGCUUGGAGGACUCGGCGUCCUCUGUAAUCCCAAACCGUCGUGAGGGGGAAAGCGAAGCCAAGGAAGAGGCAGAGGAAUUGUGGCAAGGGCACAUCCCCUAACGUCGAUUCCUCGUCCUCUGGGACUGGUGGUGGUGUAUUGGGCGAACCGUAGGGUUUGUCCUUGCACCUUAGUUAUGGGUAGUGGUUCAGGCCCGGAAGGGAGCAGACCACCCGUGAACAACCAGUGCUCAGAGGGUUGCGGGGAUGAGGAGGGGGUUGUGUAGUCCAGCUGCAAUUCCUCUGUCGAUUCUUUGGUGUCCUGCCAU